UACGUAGGGUGCGAGCGUUGUCCGGAAUUAUUGGGCGUAAAGAGCUCGUAGGCGGUCUGUCUCGUCGAUCGUGAAAACUUGGGGCUUAACCCUGAGCUUGCGGUCGAUACGGGCAUGACUGGAGUUCGGCAGGGGAGACUGGAAUUCCUGGUGUAGCGGUGAAAUGCGCAGAUAUCAGGAGGAACACCGGUGGCGAAGGCGGGUCUCUGGGCCGAUACUGACGCUGAGGAGCGAAAGCGUGGGGAGCGAACAGG
rnacentral:rRNA from 1 species